ACGGGUGAGUAAUGCCUAGGAAUCUGCCUGAUAGUGGGGGAUAACGUUCGGAAACGGACGCUAAUACCGCAUACGUCCUACGGGAGAAAGCAGGGGACCUUCGGGCCUUGCGCUAUCAGAUGAGCCUAGGUCGGAUUAGCUAGUUGGUGAGGUAAUGGCUCACCAAGGCGACGAUCCGUAACUGGUCAGAGAGGAUGAUCAGUCACACUGGAACUGAGACACGGUCCAGACUCCUACGGGAGGCAGCAGUGGGGAAUAUUGGACAAUGGGCGAAAGCCUGAUCCAGCCAUGCCGCGUGUGUGAAGAAGGUCUUCGGAUUGUAAAGCACUUUAAGUUGGGAGGAAGGGCAUUAACCUAAUACGUUAGUGUUUUGACGUUACCGACAGUAUAAGCACCGGCUAACUCUGUGCCAGCAGCCGCGGUAAUACAGAGGGUGCAAGCGUUAAUCGGAAUUACUGGGCGUAAAGCGCGCGUAGGUGGUUUGUUAAGUUGGAUGUGAAAUCCCCGGGCUCAACCUGGGAACUGCAUUCAAAACUGACUGACUAGAGUAUGGUAGAGGGUGGUGGAAUUUCCUGUGUAGCGGUGA
rnacentral:rRNA from 1 species